UGAGCAACCUGCCCCUGGCUCUGGGAUAACCCCGGGAAACCGGAGCUAAUACCGGAUACUCCGGCUGGAUCGCAUGGUCCGGCCGGGAAAGGUCCGCCGGAGAGGGAUGGGCCCGCGGCCUAUCAGCUUGUUGGUGGGGUCAUGGCUCACCAAGGCGACGACGGGUAGCUGGUCUGAGAGGACGACCAGCCACACUGGAACUGAGAUACGGCCCAGACUCCUACGGGAGGCA
rnacentral:rRNA from 1 species